rnacentral:rRNA from 1 species
AUUGAACGCUGGCGGCAUGCCUUACACAUGCAAGUCGAACGGCAGCGCGGGGCAACCUGGCGGCGAGUGGCGAACGGGUGAGUAAUAUAUCGGAACGUGCCCUGGAGUGGGGAUAACGUAGCGAAAGUUACGCUAAUACCGCAUACGAUCCAAGGAUGAAAGCAGGGGACCUUCGGGCCUUGUGCUCCUGGAGCGGCCGAUAUCUGAUUAGCUAGUUGGUGGGGUAAAAGCCUACCAAGGCGACGAUCAGUAGCUGGUCUGAGAGGACGACCAGCCACACUGGAACUGAGACACGGUCCAGACUCCUACGGGAGGCAGCAGUGGGAAUUUUGGACAAUGGGGGCAACCCUGAUCCAGCAAUGCCGCGUGUGUGAAGAA